rnacentral:lncRNA from 1 species
GUAAGAAAACCAGACCUGAUUCUUUCAUGGGGGCCUUUCAUCAGAAACCUGGGGAACAUUCUGUGUGACCUCAUAAAGGACUGGGCCACCUAGGAUGGGACUCUGUUUUCUCACCUCUACAAGGGGAAGUUGUCUCAGGACACAUGGGCUGUUGUUCUUCAUGCAUGGAGUUAUAUACAUCCUGUGCACCUUUUCUAUCUUUGACUCCUCAAUGGAGCUGAAAUCCCAGGUGCAGCCCCAGGAUGAGCGUCUCCAGGACCACUUGGUGCCUCCUGCGUUCUCUGAUGAAGAGCCCCAGGCUCCAGCCCACGCUGAUGUCCCACCUGCAGAGCUCGUGCCAACUGCAACUGCAGCUCCCUCACCAGUUCUGACCCCACAACAAGAGCCAGGACCUGAAACCCCUUCUCCACCAGCUGCAGAGCUGCAACUCCUGGUGGCUCCACAGCAAGUGCUAUCUCUUGAGCUCUACUUGGGGUCAACCCUUGACCCAUACCUGGAAUUCCUCUCCCUUAUAGAUUUAGUUAUUAUUAUAUUUAUUGUUACUCUUAUUUUCCAGAGACAGGUCAAUGACAGAA